rnacentral:lncRNA from 1 species
UUACUCCUCCCAGUGGCUAAGGAUAACAACAUCCAAGUACUGGCAAAAACAUGUUCGAUUAAUCAAGAUUAAAUGGAGAAAUCCAAAUUUCUAAAUCUGGAAUAAGGGUAACUCAUUGUAAGUCUUGAAUAGCAUAGUGAUAUGUAUAUACAUUUGAUACCCGUAGAGAGAAACAAUUUACCUCAAUUAAAUUGUAAUAGAAUAUAACCCAGAUUUUGAUACAACAUUAAGAGAUAAAAGAGAGGGAGAAGUUUUUAUUUAAUCAAAUAUUUAAGAUGAGAUGAGAGGGUGUACAAGAAGGUUCAUGUACUGAUCGGCAUCGAAGGAGGUGGUGUUGAUAGUGUCGAGAGUGGCGAAUCUUGAUGUGGUGUUGGUGGGAGCAGAAGUCUGAGAAGCAUCCUGUGAAUAGAAGCAGAUCUCGAGUUCUCUUUACCUUAUCAUCCUCUACUGCCAUUUUUCUCUUUCUCUCUAGUCCCUCUUCACCUGUAAUAUUUAUGUUUCUUCUCCUAAACAACACUUAAUUAGAUAUCUUCUAUGUAGUGUAUAACUUCCUCCCUUAUCUGAGAGUACCAACAAUGUAAACAACACAAAUACCAAGAAUGUAAACCACCACAAAUCACACAAAAACAUGGCAUAACUCAUAUCAACAACAUUAUUUGAGACAUUCUACUAACAAUUCACGCACAAAUAGGCAUUAGUCAUAUUAAGUGCUUCAUGUUAACAUCAAACAAGAUUAACACCUAACUAUAUCAACCAGAUGUAAUUCGCAAAACCCUAUAAACUGCUUUAUUUCAAGAAUCACAUUAAACCAACUACCAACUGUAGACUUUAUAACAACAAAUCCGAUUAUACCAAACUGCCUUAAAAUCGUCUGCUUCAUCGAUUCUAAAGAGAUUCAUGUGCUUUUAUCGAUUCCAAUAAAAUAAAUAAAUAACUCAUCAGCUUAUACCGAACCAGAAAAAGAAAUCCGGAUUGCAACCAAUAAAUUGGGAACCAUAUAGUAGAAAUCAGACAAGAAAUUGAGUUCUAGAUUUAAAACUGAACAAGCAAAUCAUGUGCUUUAUCUAUUCUAGAAAUCAACAUUCAAGUAUCGAUCCUGGAGGUAUAACCGGAUAAAGUAAGCAGGACUAACCGGAUCGGAGAAGGAGCAGUAGCCGGCGCCGGAGAUCGGAGGUCUAGACGGAGAUCGGAGAGGGUCACAGCUGAUGAACAUUGUGAAGGGGAGUGUGAAGAACGAAUGUCUGGGGGUAUUUGGGGCAGAAUGGGGGUAUAUAGGUAAUUUUAGUGAGGUG